UCCGUAGGUGAACCUGCGGAAGGAUCAUUAAUAAAUGCUUCAUUGCAUCCACCUUUUGUGCACCGUAAAUUUUCACUUAAACUUUGUCUGAUUUAUAUCUGUUCUGAAAGGAACAUGAAUUGUAAUCUAAUACAACUUUUAACAAUGGAUCUCUUGGCUCUCGCAUCGAUGAAGAACGCAGCGAAAUGCGAUAAGUAAUGUGAAUUGCAGAAUUCAGUGAAUCAUCGAAUCUUUGAACGCAUAUUGCGCUCUCCGGCAUUCCGGAGAGCAUGCCUGUUUGAGUCUUGGUACCAAUCUGGUGUAACCUUUGUAUAAAGGAUAGAACUUUUUAUAAAAAACUGCAUUGAGACGUCUUGAUAAGUAAAAUUGUUAAGUGUCUUAAAAUACAAUAGUACAGCUAUAGCUCACCCUCUUUGGAGUAAUAUGUGACCUGAAAGGGUAACUCUAUUUCUCCUCGUUGGGAAGACUUGUUGCUGGAAGUUUUUGAUUGCUGAACGUCAAAGGCGGCAUUCAAUUGUUCGAGUAACGACGAACUUAAAAAUUCAAGCUCAAAUCAGGUAGGAUUACCCGCUGAACUUAAGCAUAUCAAUAAGCGGAGGA
rnacentral:rRNA from 1 species